GCUGGGCGUGGCGGCGCACGCCUGUAAUCCCAGCAGCUCAGGAGGCUGAGGCAGGAGGAUCGUGAGUUCAAAGCCAGCCUCAGCGACUCAGGGAGACCCUAUCUCUA
rnacentral:sRNA from 1 species